CGUUGAAACACAGGUUUUCGUACGAUCAGAGAAGUUAAGCAACGUAGAGCCUGGUUAAAACAUUGAUGGGUGACCGCUAGAGAAUACCAGGUGCUGUAAG